GACGAACGCUGGCGGCGUGCUUAACACAUGCAAGUCGAACGGAAAGGCCCUGCUUUUGUGGGGUGCUCGAGUGGCGAACGGGUGAGUAACACGUGAGUAACCUGCCCUUGAAUUUGGGAUAACUUCAGGAAACUGGGGCUAAUACCGGAUAGGAGCUCCUGCUGCAUGGUGGGGGUUGGAAAGUUUCGGCGGUUGGGGAUGGGCUCGCGGCUUAUCAGCUUGUUGGUGGGGUAGUGGCUUACCAAGGCUUUGACGGGUAGACGGCCUGAGAAGGUGACCGGCCACAUUAGGACGGAGAUCAGGCCCAGACUCCUACGGGAAGCAGCAGUCGGGAAUAUUGCACAUUGGGCGGAAGACUGAUGCAGCAACGCCGCGCGCGGGAUUACGGCUUUCUGGUUGUAUCCCGCUUUUGCCUGUGAUGAAGCGUGAGUGACGGUAAUGGGUAAAGAAUCACCGGCUAACUACGUG
rnacentral:rRNA from 1 species